UCACCUAUCCCAUCACAGGACUUGGAUUCCGUGUGCAUUCCAGCUGCGUGUGUACCACAGACCCGCGUUCAGUCCGUACGCACCUCUAGGAGUGAACUGAACUAGCACCAUUAGUAAGACCCGAACCCUGACUCCGUGCUAUCUAGAACUCUGGAGACUUCUGGAGCCAGACUGCCUGGAUUUAAAAGACAUAGACCGCAGCUGUGACUAUCAUUUACUAGUUAUGGGACCUUGGACAAGUUACAUUUCCAGGAUCUCAGCAUUCCCAACUAUGAGAUGGAAAUAUUAAUAACAGCAGCGUAUGAAAAAGUUUAGCUUACCUCAUUUGGCUCAUGACAGAUAAUUAUAUACGCUUUCCCUCUUGGGGCUUUUGUUUUUAUGGGAGUGGGUGGGGUCCUGGGGGGUCAAACUCUGGGCUUUGUAUAUGCUAGACAAAAGUACUAUUCCUAGGCUACAUCCCUGGCAACCUUGUUAUUGUUUUCUCAUUCAUAAAGUAGAAACACAAGUCUCUCAGGGCUGCUCCAAGGAGUCAAUGAUGUAACAAGUGAAAUUUUCCUCAGCAUAUUAUCUCAUCAGCAUUUCCUUCCUUUCUGUGUAUUAAAGUAAUUGCUACAAUCAAACGAGGACCUUUAAUGCCAGGGUCUCUCGGAGAACCCGGAUUUUGGGUUUUGUUGAGUCAGCGAACCAAGGAGCGCUGCCUGUCUCCACAAGCUCCACCCCUCCCCUCCACACCCCAGUCCAGUGCUGCAGUUACAAACACGCCACAAGGUCUGGCUUUCUACACGGGUGCCCGGGAUCUGACCUCGGGUCCUCAGCUCUUCCUGCUUUCAAGGCGUUAAGGUACAAAGACUAAAUAAACACUCAUCACGACCCUCGAGGAUACAACAGACUAACGGAGGAGGCAGAUGAAGCCAGUGCAGGAUGCCUAGACUUCAAGGUAUUUUUAAUCAUCGAGUGACGUAAAAACACUCGGUAACUACUUGGAUUAUGGUGGAUGAACUGAGCGGCAGUGCUGCAUUGAGAUAUUACCCUGCUGGCAUCCAUCGACAACUAAAUAUUCCACACAUGUCUGCCGAGUACAAUCACACCGCUACAACGCUUGCUGAUAAAUCCAUCCCAGCUUCUCUACCUCUGAAGUCACUAGUAUAUUUCUAUUACUAUGUACAUUUUAGGGUGAUUAGGAAAUAAACAAGAGACCCACUGUUAGGAAUUUUUAAUAACCCGGAAUAAAAGAAUAAGUAAAAGAUAAUUAUGCACGCUCCUCAAAUCCCCUUUUGGAGUUAGAAAGUAAUUAUAUCUUAGACACUAUAUAUUUCUUCAGAUAAAAAAAAUUUUUGAGACCAAUUAAAAGAGUUGCUGGUUUACUAACUGUCAACACAGGCUUGAGAUGGUCUCCCCUGCUACAGCAAGAUGAUAUUCUUAAAACAUGAUAGGAGAAUUUAUUCUGGGGUUCUAAAAAUUGCAUUAAGAGCUAUCAUGGGGGCUGGAGGGAUAGCUCAAUGGUUAAGGGCACUGACUAUUCUUCCAGAGAUCCUGAUUUCAAUUCCCAGCAACCACAUGGUGGCUUACAACCAGCUACAGCAUGCUCAUAUAAAUAAAUAAAUCUUUUUCCUUUUUAAAAAGAGCUAUCAUGCAAAAAAUUAAAUUAUAUCUUUCAAAGGUUUGUCCAACUCUAAAUGGUUCUUGAGAUGACUGAUGGAGGGGACAUAAUGAAUGGAAAGAAGGUUCAUUCUCUAGCCUCUCUGUCUGGAUAUGUCACCAUUCAGUCUGUUACUCACACCCUAAGCUGGGCAUAUAGACUAUACAGGCACACACACAAUCUGCAACUUACUUAGCAAAAGGUUCUUCUUCCACAAGAACUUUCGUGAGUUGCAUAUGAUAAAGACUGUCACUAGGCCUGCUGUCCCCCAGCACGCAAUGAAUAGGACACGUAGGACAUGAACGGUCAGUACUCCAGUUGCUUAAACGAGUCCUUUGCACCCUCAAAACAGUAUGUGGCCGCAAUGCAAAAAGGAACCGCGUGGUUGCCAUGAGAGAGCAUGUGAGCACAGUGAAGCUACGAGAUGCACCCAGUGCCCAUCCAUUUUAAAUUCAUACUUAUUAUACAGGAAGACGUGCAUUCAAAACAGCUUAUUCUUUUGAAAAUGGUUCUUUAGUCUCUUGCACAUGUGCCUGCAUGCUGACUGGCAAAUUCUCUUGCAAUCCAUAAAUUAAAAUUCCACUCUUUCCUAACAUGCUUUCACUUCGAAAUGUCAAUAUAGUUUGUAUGGAUGCAUAUGUGUAUACAUUUAUUCUAUAUAUCCACAAAGCCCACUGUAUUUAUUUGGCAGCCGCAGCUCUUAAAUUGGUCGUCAUGUAGAUGGCUAGACUGUCACGUUAGUCUAUUCACAGAAUCACAAAAACAACUGACUAGAAAAGCUGAAGGGAUCCAUAAAGAUGACUUAGACCAAAUCCUUCAGUCCAAUGAGAAUCCAGAGUGGAGAACAAGGAUUCUGUCAAACUCAAGCCAAAAGCUGGUAUAAAGUCCUUUAUAGAGAACCUGUCACCAUUAAGUCAGAACUAGGAACCCCUUUCUCUGAUUAACUAACUAAAACUAUUGUUAAAAAUCCCUAGAAUUUUGUUUUCGGUUUAAAU
ensembl:lncRNA